rnacentral:rRNA from 1 species
AGAGUUUGAUCAUGGCUCAGGAUGAACGCUGGCGGCGUGCCUAAUACAUGCAAGUCGAACGAGGUGCUUUUGUAGCAAUACGAGAGUAUCCUAGUGGCGAACGGGUGAGUAACGCGUUGGUGACCUGCCCCAAAGUGUGGGAUAACAGUCCGAAAGGAUUGCUAAUACCGCAUGUGGUCAUGAGGUUUAGAAACUGAUGACUAAAGCAGCAAUGCGCUUUGGGAGGGACCUGCGUCCCAUCAGCUAGUUGGUGAGGUAAUGGCUCACCGAGGCGACGACGGGUAGGGGACCUGAGAGGGUGACCCCCCACAAUGGAACUGAAACACGGUCCAUACACCUACGGGUGGCAGCAGUAGGGAAUAUUGCUCAAUGGGCGAAAGCCUGAAGCAGCAACGCCGCGUGCGCGAUGAAGGUCUUCGGAUCGUAAAGCGCUUUUCUGCGAGAUGAGAAAGGACAGUAUCGUAGGAAUAAGUCUCGGCUAACUACGUGCCAGCAGCCGCGGUAAUAC